GCCCCCAGGGCCUUUGACCCCCGUGCCCCCGGUGCCCCCUCACCCCGUCCCAGUGGUCGAACUGGUACCGCCGCGGGCCCAGCACCGGCUCCAGCUCCCGCAGCAGCUCGGCCUCCUCCCCCGCCCUCAGGAACCCACCCCGCACCAGGGCCAGGCCCCGCAGCCGCCGCUCCACCGCGGGGCUGGAGGCGCGGAGCAGCCCCGGCUCCCCCUGGAGCCCAUCCCCGGGCCCCUCAGCCUCGGGCUCGGGCCCGCUCACGGGCCUGUGCCCCGGCCCGGCCCCGCCGCCCCCCGACCGCCCCCGGGCCCGCCGCCAUAGGCCGCCCGCGCGGUGCAUGCCGGGAGCAGGCCCGAGCGCGAGGCACGCCGGGAACGCGGCGGCGCCCCCUGGCGGGCGGGAGGGGCGGCGCGGGGCAUUGUGGGUAGGAGGCGGACUGGGGGGGGGGGGUGUCGGGAAACCCCCGUGGACCCCAUAGACCCCGCAGCCCCCCGUUCCCGCUCAGAGCACCCCAUAGACCCCCAACCCCCCCCACUCACCUGCAGCCACUCAGGGCCGGGGUUGGGGGCUGCCCCACGGCUCGGGGUCACCCCCCGGCUCAGCCUCCUCCCCCAGCUCGGUGCUGCCCCCCACUUGUGGGGCGCCCCACAGCUCAGGGGGGUCCCAGGGGGCGGGGGCGCUCAGGAAGUGCUGCCGCAGCAGAGCCCCUCUCUCAGCCUCACACUGCUCCCACUGCGGGGGGGGAGGGGGGAGAAAGUGGGGCUGGGGGGGGAGGCAGGGGGGAGCCCCCGCCCCCAGGGGGUCCCCAGCCCCACGGAGGGGUCCCAUCCUGGGGCUGACCCCAUCUCGGGGGGCCCAGACCCACAGACAGAUCUCGUUCCUGGGGGGGUCCCAGCCCCAUAGGGGGGUCCCAUUGGAGGGGAGGUCCCGGGGGUCUCACCCUGGGGGGAGCCCUUCUUCACAGGGGGGUCCCAUUCCGGGGGGAGGGCGUGUCUCAGGGGGUCUCACCCUGGGGGGUCCCCCUCCCCAUGGGGGGAUUCCCAGCCCCACAGGGGGUCCCUGGGGGUGCCCCAUCCCCACGGGGGUGCUCCCUGGCAGGGUGGGUCUGGGGGGGGGGUGUCCCAGGGGUGGGUGUGUGUCCCUGCCCCGGGGUGGGGGGGUCCGGGGGGUCCCCACCUCUCUGGCCAGGCGCUCGGCGGCCUCAGUGAAGACGCGGCGCUGGUGGGUCAGGGCUCCCCGCAGCUGCCGCAGCCGCCCCCGCUCCGCCGCCAGCCCCGGGGGGGUCCCGGGGGGGGUCCCGGGGGCCGCCAGCGCCGCCCCCAUCGCCUCCUGCAGCACCCGAGUCGGGGGGGGGGCACCGGGACCCCAGAAGGGCGUUCCCCUGAGCCCCCCCAGUACUUGCAGGCAGCCGUGCCGUAGGGCUGGGGAGGGUGGGGGGGUGUCCCAGGGUGGUCAUGGGGGUCCCGGGGUGGUCUCAGGGUUUGGGGUGUCCCAGGAGGGAAAGGGGGGGGUCCGGGGGAGGGUCCCAUGUCUGCACCCCCCUGUACCUGCAGGCAAUGGUGCUGCAGGAAUUGGGGGUCCUGGGAGGUCCCAGGGUCUUGGGGAUCCCACAGGAGAUCUGGGGGGGUCCCAGGGGGGUCCUGGGAGGUCCCAGGGUCUUGGGGGUCCCGUGGGUGGAUUGGGGGAUCACAGCGGGGAGGGGGUCCGGGGGGAUGUCCCCCCCUCCCCGUACCUGCAGGCAGCGGUGCCACAGGGCUGGGGGUCUCAGGGAGUACCAGGGACUGGGUGGUCCCAGUGGGGCUCAGGGGUCCUGGUGGGGGAUUGGGGGGGUCCCGGGGUCCUGGGGGGGGUUCCCAUGGGUGUCCCCCCCCCCGUACCUGCAGGCAGCGGUGCUGCAGAGCGAUCACCUCCCUCCCGGCCGCCACCUCCUCCCGCAGCCGCUGCAGCUCCUGCUCCAGGUCGGGGUCCCCCCGUGGGGCUGGGGGGGGGCGCCGGGGGGGGGGCCCGGGGGGCUCAGACCCCCAACGGGCUGCCUGCGGCCUGCAGGAGGGCAACAGUGGGGACCCACAGCAUCCCCCCCAAAACAAGUGUGCCCCCCUCAGACCCACAGCAUCCCCUAAUUCAGUGACCCCCCCCCCGAGCCCCACAGUGACCCCAGCCCCA
ensembl:lncRNA